rnacentral:tRNA from 1 species
GGCUCUGUAGUUCAAUGGUAGAACGAUGAAUUCACAACAACUUGUCGCCAACCUUAACGAAUUUCGGCGAAUGCCGGCGGAUCUACAUGGGACAGUAAGGUUGCAGGUGCAAAUCCUGCCGGAGCCA